ACACACAGGACAGAUAUCUGAGGAGCUGGAAGCAGCUAACCGUCUCCUACAGCAGGCCCAGCAGCCCUACAGUUACCUGAUCGACACGGUGAGACAGAGAGACACACAGAUACUGUCCCUCAGAGAACGCAUCACACAGCUGGAGGAGGACACCAGAUCUCUGAGGAAAGAGAAGACGUCUCUCCAACAGGUGAAGAACAAUAUGGCCUCCGACCUGGAGCGACUGCUCAACCACCGAGAGGUACACACACACACACACACACACACACACACACACAC